UUUUUUCCAGGUUUAGGGAAUUCCUGCCCCUUUUUUAGCUUUAAGGAAUUUCUGCCCCUUUUUCCACGUUUAAGGAAUUCCCAGGGUUUCUUUUUCCAGCUUUAAGGAAUUCCUGCCCCUUUUUUAGCUUUAAGGAAUUCCUGCCCCUUUUUCCAGGUUUAAGGAAUUCCCAGGGUUUUUUCCAGCUUUAAGGAAUUCCUGCCCCUUUUUUAGCUUUAAGGAAUUCCCAGGGUUUUUUCCAGCUUUAAGGAAUUCCUGCCCCUUUUUCCAACUUUCAGGAAUCCCUGCCCUAUUUCAGAUGGAAGCAAUUCCCAGUUUUUUCC